AGUUCAAAUUCACUCUAUGUGCUGAAGAAAGCUAGGUAGAGAGGCAAAAGUGGUUAAGACACUCUUCAGGAUUUGGGAGACCUUUGUUUAAUUCUCUGUUCCAAGGCAGGCCCCCUGUAUGACCCCAAGGCAGGCCUUAACCCUGCAGUGUUUCAUUUGUAAAACAGUCAGGGUAUCACUGCGUUCCUACACAGGAAUGCAGCAAGGAGAAAGUGCUGGAGUCUAGGAUGUCUUUAAUGUACUGGUAAAGAUAAGGUAUCAUGGAAGACAUAAGAAACAACACUCAGGGAAUUCUCUAUUUUUCUUUAUUUCUCUCUCAACAUUAUCUGCAUUCGUAGGUGAGGCCACAUGUAAGACACAGAAUUUUUCAACUGUCUUUCAACUCUUGUCCUUUGUUCUUUGCCUCCAAAGUCCUAGUGAUCCAUAUGAGAUACUAUAUGGUAAAUCCACCACAGACCACAUUUUUUAGUCAUUCUGUACCACGGGAUAUCUGAAUUUACAUGUGUUAGAGACUGCUGCUCUGGUCAAAGCCACAGGGACAUGAGGUAACACACUGCUUUCUCAUUCCAAAACCUGGUGUGGGAAUGACAUGAGCUCACCCACCACUUUUGCACUGUGUAAACAGCCUGAAAAUUAAGUACGAAAAAAGAGUGCUUAUGAUUGCAAAGGAUUCUGGGAAGAAAAAAAAAAAAGACUUUGAAAAAGCCAGCGUUGUGAGCUGUUUCUAGCCCAGUUUCUGGCAAUCACGUUGCUGGAAGAUAAACCUUGGCCCUGAAGAUUUUAGUAUUCCCAAACAACCAUAAUCUGUUGUGGGACCUCUUCCACACAGCCUUAUUUGAUGAUCCACAGGCUGUAAAAUCAGAGAAUAAUUUAGACUGGAAGGCACUUCCAGAGAUCUCUGAUCCAAUUCAUGCCACAAGACUUCUAUGGGUUCCACCAAGAACUCUCCAGAGGAAAAGGAAAAAUAAUAUCAUGGAAAUAGCUUUGGGAACUGUAAUAGCAACAUCUUUGAUGAUUAGGAUGAUUUUAUUGCUUUUCCUGAUGGAGAAGUUAAUACAGGCAUCUUCAUAACACAGCAACAUCCGGUGAGCUGGGAACAAGGAAUUAACAGCCAGACUUUGGCUCUGUUUUGAAUAUACAUUUGCUUGUAGUAUAAAGCUGAAUAGAACAAUUGUUCUUUUUGACUUGUCUAACGCAAACGCUAUCAUCAUCUUCAGCAGCAGUAACAGAGGGCUUUGUGUGGUGGAUAAAACACUUCCCAGGAGUCAAGAAUCCUGAUUCCAGCUCUGACAUUUGUUUGCUGUGUGACCUCAGAUAAUUCACUUUACUUCUGUGCCCUCAUUUUCCUCUCAUCUGCAAAAUGUUCCUUCAGAUGUACUGAUGAAAAUCUCUGUACGCAAAAUCAGAAAAUACACUUUAUCAUAGUAAUUGGGAGUAUAUUUAGACCUGCUCGAAUGACUGCUGGCUUGAAAUAAAAAGCCUGGAAAUGGCAACUUUUUGUUCAAACAAAAUCAGCUGAAAGCUGCCAGAGAAGCAGUGUUUUUAGCUUUUGUGUUUACCUGAAUCCUACUUGACUUGAAACAUUCUAGGUUUAAUGCAGCCCAAGUUCAGGGCUUGAUCGAGUGAGCAAGUUGUCCUUGCUAUUUGCAAGGCAGAGAUAAUUCCUGAAAACUGGACUAGAGCAAUGCCUGUCUCUUCCAAACACAGAGCUCUGAGCACAGCCUGACUGCAGUCUGUCCGCUGGGCUCACUCUGAGGUGAGAGACACGCAGCAUGUGACAGCCCAGAAGUUAUGAGCAGAUAAACUGGGUUAAGUGUUUUCAUUUUAUUAAGCAUUCAGUUUGGCUCAAGAUGUAAAAUGCCACAGGGGAAAAGCCCUCAGAUCCUACCUCUUCAAAUAAGCUGAGGUUAGACUCAGGUCUUUGGAGGAAUCUGGAGAGAAUAUGAACUGGCUUCACCUGUGUUUUGAAACUGAUUCUACACAAGUAAGUAGCACGAUCUGUCAUUCUGCCUGAAUGGACACAGAAAUCCUGGGCACAGAAAUGGAGAAGCACCUUUGUACCAUAUAAUGAAACCUUAGCGCUUUCUCAAUGCAGACAGACUAUAUAGCUGCAGAGUGACAGCACAUCCAGGUCUAGAACAUAAUACAGUCAUUUCCAGAUGGUAGAAGAACAAAGGACAAUCAUAAGAACAAUCAUAAUUGGAUCUCACUGUUUGUGGUUUUAUUUUCUCCCCUCCCUGGGCUCUCUGAUGAGAGUCAGCAAUCUGAAGAGCUUGUGGGCAUAGUUUUCACUGGAGGAGCUUUCAUUUCACAGUUCCCCACUUGUGCUCAUUGCCAACUUUACAGCUAAUUUAAACAAAACUGAGCUUGUAGAUUAAAUGGCAACCCAUGGGAUUUGUUUCUGCAAAUAACAGCACUCCUCCUAGUCAGAUUCUAAUUAAAUAGUGAGUUCCUAGACCUGCAUGCAGAAAACAGUGGGAAAAAUGGCACUGCCUGAGUGACAUCAGAGUUAACUCCGUCCAGUCCAUUACAGCCCCUGCAUUCCUCAACAACAGUAGGUGAAACCCUGGACUGUUGAAAUCUGGAAAAUUUGCCACCAUAUUGUUAGAUAAAAGCUAGGAUUUCACCUGGGAAGACUAAAGGAACUGUCUCUUCUUGACAGUGCAACAUUUCCAGCUUUGCAGCUUACCUCGCAAUGGCUUUAUUUAGCAGAAUGCAUUUUCCCUCAGUGUAGUUAAAGCUAUUCAUGUGUUUCAUUAAAACACACGCUCAGCUUUUGGAGCAGAACCCUUUGCAAGCCCCUAGCAGAUACCUUUGUGCACAGAAUGAAUUCCCUGGGUGAGAAGAAAGGGGGCUACAAAAUCUAGCAUUUGCAAAAAGCUUUUUGAAAGUAGCUUCCAGGGGUUAAGAAGAAACCAGUCACCUCUGAACUAUUUUCACCAACAAAAACAUUCAAUUGGAAAUGCAUUCAGAGAUUUGAGAAUAAUAUAUGGUUAAGGAGAUUCAUAAGGUGUUCACUAAACAAAAACAAAGUUGGCUUUUGCUGAACCUUCUUACAGGCAAAUAGAGCUAAAGAGAGUGCACACCGACUGGCAGUGAUUUCUACAACCAUAUCCGUUUCCAUGGUGUAAAGCAAAAUUCAUCUGCCAACUCACCAACAAACUUUCUCCACUUCUAAUUCAAUUGAACCCGCUCUCCUUCCAGACACUGCAGCUGGAGAGUUAACCUGAUGGAACAGAGCAGGAACCAGCCGUAUCUGGUUCUGGAUCACCUUUUCUUGCCCCCUUUCAGCUCAGCAGUAGGAAUUUGAGCAUGGAACAAAACCUGGAUUGCUCUAAGUGAUGUUACAUGCCAAACAAUCCUUGGCUCAGCCCUGGGAAACAGGCAGUUAUGAUCCAGCUUUUCACUGAACAUCAAAGGAUAUAGUAAAACUGGAACAGGUACGGAAGAGAAAGGCUGGAGAUAUUCUGUGCGAGAAACAGUUAAACAGGCUAAGAUGCUUGAAGGUGGAAGACAGAUACACUCAAGGUCUAUAAAACUACAAGGAGCAUUAAGCAAGUAAUGAGGGACAGACAGCACCUUGCAAUGAUCAGAGAGCUGCGGGACAUCAGCUGGAGUCAGCUGGAGGUGGGUUCAGAGCAGGAGAAGGAAGAUAGGUCUUUACACGUCUGCAAAUCCAAUUAAACUACGGAGCUCUCUGCCACGUGUCAGUCAUUUACAUGGGCGCAAAAGUUAAGACAAAAACACGGAAGAAAAGUCAGUUGCAGGAGUAUUAAAGCACAACAGAUACCACUUCUCACUCAAAGUCUCUGAACCAUAAUUUUCCAGAGGCUAAGAGAGAACACCCUGAGGAAGUAUUUAUAUCAUCUGCCUUGUCUUUACACUCUUGCCUGGACAUCUGCUACAAACUAUCAGUGCAGAAGGAAUCCUUAAGAAACGAGGUAUAAGGGCAUGAAAGCUAUCAUCCCAGGUCAGAGCAAAGAUCCAUCCAUGCUCAGAACCAGACACUUGUUUAUGCUUAAGGAGGGAGCAUAAGAAAGAAAUACAGCUGUGCUUCUAGCAAAUGCCCCUUGCCACUUGUCACAAGCUGUAGUGAAAGAACUAGAAAUGAAUAUUUAUUUACCUUGACAGAUUUAAAGUGAUUAAAGUGAUCAAACAACUUAGUAGGAGGGAAACUGACCCACAAUUUUAGCCUUUACAUGAUAUCAGACUGUCUCAGCAUCUCUGUCAUCCUGUCCAUCUCCUGUCUGAAGCUUCCACAUUCAAGGAAGUACAAAGAUGGAGAGCUCAGCGGUGCUACUUUCCUCCAGUGUGAAAAGAGGCUGAAAAGAGUCACAUCUUACUGGCUCUCCCAGGGAAAGAAAGCAUCUGCAACUGAAACGCUGUUAGGUAUCAGAGAAUUCACACAGGGUGGUGUGUAUUGGGAAGGAGGCAAUAUGUUUUCUGUAGUCACAGAGAAACCGGUUUUGUGUUAAGCCAGCUGCUGAGAUCGGGUUCAUUUGCCCAAUUCAAUCUACCCUGGGCUUUCCACAUCUUUGCUUCAAAGCCCUGUUUAUGAAGACAAAGACGGGAACUUGGCGGCUGCCAUGCAAAUGUCACAUUUUAUGAGCAAGACAAUUGCUUUAAGAAGGUUUUUUUCUUUUUUUGUUUUUGGCAGGCUCUCAACUCAUGGCCUGGGUCUCCAUGCCCCCCAACUCCUCCACGACACAGUACAGAAAUGGACACUGCAAAUUUCUGUCUGAGGCCAGCCUUGGCAGCGGAGCCAGCGAGAAGAGAAACAGCCUGUGCUCUAAUAAGUAAAAUAUUUAUGUCUUGCUUUGGCUAACAGACCCUCUCUCAAUAAAAUAUUUUUCCCAGGAGGAAAUCUAUGAAAGGGAGGGAGCUCCUUUAUUAUGUCCCCAAAUCAUUCUUUUCUGCUGCCCUUCAAAAGCCUGGAAAUCAAAGAACACUGUAGUCCGAAGCUUUCUGUUGCCGUUCUUGACUUUGUUAUCAUUAGUUAUUACAAUCAUUACAUUGAUUACCAUUAUGAGCUCUCAAGAGGCCCUGGCUAAUCAGCACCCCAUUCCAGGAAACGCUCUGACAAAUCUCUCGCAGCAUAUGCAUACACAAAGCUUGUAGUCUAAAAAGACCAGCUUAAACAGACUGUUAACCCGUUCACAUGCCAGGGAACUGCAGUACAGAAACUGCAAAGUAUAGCUACGUGCGAAGCUUGUGUUAGAGACGGAACAAAGCUCUUAACUGCUGCUAAAGAGAGCAGUCUGGUUGUUUCUUGCCAGAGCCUCAGAAAACCAUCCUUGAGAGACUCUUCACCAGAAGAUUCAUUGAUGAUGCUCUGCACUUAGACUCACUGCUAACCUCCCACACUACGAGCACACCAAGUCUGUAGCUCAGACAACAGUCUGUGGGAUCUAGGGCAGGCCCUGGUUCAGCUGGAGUGUUACUGGCCUCACCUGUACAGGCAGAUUCACCCCGCUGGGAACUGUCACUCCCAGGCACCAGGAAAGAUGGCACACACUGACUUUCAACAGCAGGCUAUGUUGCUACUCCUGAAACCAUCAGCAAAAUUUCCAUCUCUUUCUGAGCACAUCAUCUCCACCAGUCUGCAGUGCAGGUCACAGGAUUGCUCAUGGCAUCUGCUCUCACUUGCUAGUGCUAUAUUUCAGAUGCUUUUUGCCUAUUCUAGCCUGUGACUUGUAUCACUUUCCUGAUGUAUGGGAGGAGGAAGAAGUUAUGUAUCCAACCAAAUGAAAAUAGAUUCUGAGCUUUGAUGGUUCCUCUUCUAGGUCACCAGCCUUACACAAACUGCAGUGUGGUGGGGAGGAGAAGGGAAGGAGAAGAUAAUAUAGAAAACCAACCCCAGUCUCUAUUAAGGAAUGACAAAGUAAAAAUCCCAUGGAUACCAACGACAAAAACACACACAAAAUUCAAGGAAAAGAGAAAAGAAAACCCUAUCUGGGAUUUUAAAAGAAGAACUGAGCAUGCACACAUAAUACCCUUUGGCAAGGGAGCCCAGGCAGGAAAGUGUUGCAACUCCAACAUGCUGUGCUCAGAGAAGGUGUUAAUGGUCCAGCCAUCCUGUAUUAUUGCACACAAACAGGAGAGGCCCAGCAGAACUGUAGGGGUCUUUAAGAUCCCCACCCAGAUGGAAAGAGCAGAAAGAGUUAUGUAGGAUUAACACGAGGGGAGAGGAAGGAAAGGGGUGAAGGAAAGGUAAUGUCCCAAGCACCAGAGACCUCUGAGCUAACAAGGUAGGUCUGCUGCAUCUCACACUUGGAAAUGAGGAUGCUCUGGCCGCCCCUCUCCCACACCUUGGUCUCUGCUUCAUGCACUCAUGGAAGGACGGCAGGGCUCUCUUCCACUAUGGGAGUCUUUGGGCCAAACAAGAGAUUUCUUGACCAGCUGCAGUUAGUGUCACCAGUCCCAAAUGCCUCUAAACUCCCAGAAGGAGAUAGAAGCUUCAGGCACUUUGUUUGGAAGUAACCACUCAUGAUGUGUUUGCAGCUGAUGCCUGUAGCUGCGGUCUCUUCCUAACAUAGUCAGAGAUUCUGGCUCUUACACAUGGGAAAGAAAUAUUGGAAAGGUCGUGACACUGGCCUAUGCGUGUUUCCUUAACGAGAGCUAGAAAAAUCUUCACACGUGUCAACCUUCUUAGCCCCACAAGCCACACAUCAAAAUCAUCACAUGGCUGUGGGCUCCCAGGCACAAAGGUCUGGGUGAAAGCCAGGAGUGUACGUGCUUGUGGUUUGAGAAUUUACAUGCUGCAUGGAAUGGGUGGUAUCUUCCCCAAAGCCUGCCACCACAAACACAAUGGGAUACCCAAGAGCUCCUUCACUUUGCCAGUGAUGCCGUAACAAAAGCUCAUAACCAGAAAAAAAAAAGAAAAAAAGAAUCAGUUAUAGUCAAAUACAGGCAAAAGCUUUCCCAGUGAGGGAGAUACAUUAUUAGUUUGCACAGGACCAUAGGGUGUAGCUGAUUCUUCACUGUUCAGAGGUUUUAAUAAAGACUGAUUUUUUCCAAAUCUGCCUUACAUAAAGGGAGAUAUCUGAUGAAAUUCUACUAUCUAAUGUCUAAAAGUGAGCCAUUUGUAAUAGUACUGAAUACUCUGGAAUCUCUACAGCAACAUGCAAAGCCUGCAUAACCAGAUUCUAUGAGAGGUAUUUCCUAUCCAGAAUAAAACAGUGCAGAAGAUUCAGACAAUAAGCUGAACUUCUGGAGAGGGCUGGCACCAGCUUUCACACUGGCAGAUGUAAUUACACCACCACCAUUUCUAUAAGCAUCAUUGUCAGAAAAUUUUGGAGACCGUUUUAACUGGUUUGUCAAGGGUGAACUCCAGAAUUAUAAUCAACUGCACACCAUCAGGCAAAGUGCUGGGCUGCUAAACUUGUGUACAGUUUUCCUGUGGAUUAGAUCAAAUUCCUGAUGUAGGAAAAGCUAUUAGGUCCUCCAUUCUGUUUUCACUUCUGAGAGCUUAACACACAUGUUACUGACUUAAAUCAAGUGAUUUCCAACAUAUACCUGUGAGAAUGCAGGAUCAAACCAGAAUGUGUUAUGUUUCAAAAUAUUUUUUCACAAUAAGCUGGUUUAGUGAACUCACUUUUCACCCCUAGAGAGCUGACUGUAAUGAGAUCACGCAGAGAAAGGAUAUGGAGUUUCACCCCAACCUCCAGGAGACAACAGGCCAUAUCCAGAAAUCCUCCCUCAAAUCAGUCUUAUUUUUGGUCAUGGAGCAAUACCAUCUGUGGAGAUAAUUCGAAGGAAGGAGCAAGGUCAGAAUUUCAGCUGUCACAUGAAGAUUUGAAGCACACACAUCUGAGAUUCUGUAAAGAUAUGUUUGCUCCCAGCUUGGAAAGUGUUCUUCCUGAAGCCUCACCUCCUGAAGCCCUGUCAAUACGUGAGACAUUUCUUCUCCAGUUCUUUCUUUUCUCCUCUUUCAUUUAAAAAAGAGGAAAAGCUUAUUUGGAAAGGCAUUUUCUAAUAGGAACAACUUCAAAAUGCGUCAUGAAGGUGGGACCACAUUUAAUGUCUUACUUUGGAUAAAUCUGCUGUGACUUUUGCUUUAGCAACAGAAAGCAGCAUGACAGGUUGACGUGAGGCAAUAGCUAGACCAAAUCUGAGCCGUACUGCUACAAGGAAAUGAGAGUCAUAAAAGUGACUCUCAUAAAAUCACACAGCAAAUUAGUGCGAUCAGAAUCCUGAUCUUGCAAAUCCUGGCCCAACACUGGAGCUAAAAAACCUGCGAGGGGAAAUGGUUGUCCCCGCCUCAUCUGCAUCUCUCCAGGAUUUAACUGGGGGAUUUAAUUUCAACACUAACAUUUUACAUUCAAGAAAAAAAAAAUGGUGUUUGGUGGUUCUAAUUAAAUUAUAUGUUUUGCGUUUUUUUUAAUUUUUAUAGCCUAAAAGGAAAUAAACUGUCAGAAAUAUUCUAACAAAUGAUUUAGAAAUAUUUCAUAUGUAUCUAAGAAGGGAGCCAAAUAUAAAUUGACAGCUUAGCGCAAGAGAACUUCAAUCUGGGUUUUAUUGCAAUAACAAAAGUGCCUAUUUAAAAGCCUUCACACAGAGCAUCUAUUCAGAAACAAGCCUGAAGACAGUCGGGGAAUUAAAAGGAGGAUAGUGUUUUGAAUUAAUCUAGAACAUUUUUGUGGAUUAGUUUACAAGCACAGAAUGCCUCAGGGGGCUAGGGAGAGCGCAGAGCACUGAAGUCAGAGGGAUCUGUCUUUUUCCUGUUGCUGGUGAUUAGUUCAUAUCUCUUUGACACCAUGUUUACAAGCCCCUAAUUGCCUCAUUAAUACCUCAUUAUUACUUAGAAAGUGAAGAAGCUUUCAGCUUUGAAGCUGUUUUGCUGCACUUGAAGGCAAAUAUAGGGUGAAUUUUCAAUGUGUUGGUACUAAUUAAAAUUGAAGUCUGUUUCCUGUUGCAUGUGGGUGGGUGUUAAUGGCUUCAAAGAAAAAAUUAGGCUUCAAUUUAUAUUGUAUGCCUCCUAACUUACACAUGGAGGAAUAAUUACAAGUAAGAAGCCCAUUGCCACAGACUGGAUUUACAAAGGGACACAUAUCCAAGCAUCUUUUCUUUUGUGCUUUUUCCAUGUGCUGGUUCACACUACAUUAGAAAGUCUGCAGCAGGCUGAAGCUGCCUGUUUCAGUCCACAGAGAUACAGCAUGCAUCUUCUUGUGCUGUCAUACAUGUAUGGGGCAUCACAGUUUUGUUUUUGCACGAGAAUGCAAAAAAAAAGUAAACAUACACUGCAUAAAAGAGACCUGGGCCCAUUUGUCUCCUGCCUAGGAUGGUCAUUGCUCUCAGGAUGAAGCUUGUUACAGAGCAACGCAAAAAUUAGGCAACAAAGCUUAUCCCAUGAUCUUUCACUUCCAACUGUAUGUAUUUGGAUGUAUGCAUACAUACAAUGCCCAGCAUAUUGCUGCAACCAGUAAAUGCAUUUUCUUUUACACAAGUCUUAAAAGUUGUGAGAUCUUUGACCAAUUUUCGAUUUCCCAAUCUCUGCUCAAAUACCUUUUUCAGUAUACAAGUUACAAAUAAACCAGUGACCACAGUUAUGGUUCCUGGAUUGCUCCAUUAAGGAAUAAAUGAAUGUUUAGAAGUUCACUCAGGCUAUAGAGAUGCACUGGCUGAUAAUGAUUUUGAGGAAUUUUAUUCCAGCUCCAGACAGAAGAGAGACAGAACACACAUUAACCACAACAAGAUCACUUCCAUGGCAAAUUUUUAACAGAAAUGUGCUUUCUUUCAAUUAGAUUGUUUUCAGGGGUCUGAGGGAUGUUGUGUAUGGAAAAGGGGGUGAAGGAGAAGGAAAAGAUGCCCAUUUUUGGUAAAAGCAUUCAGUUUCUUAAUAAGAAUUUUGGACAAGAAAAAUAGUGAAAAAUAGCCUUUGCUAAAAGCAAAUGGAAAACCCUACACUGACUGGAAGAUUUGGAUACAAAAAUAAAAUGUUUUCCAUAAAAUUAUAUUCCCAAUGAGGCACUUUUCACCAGUAUUACUUUUCAGCAGUGGGGGCUGAGGGUGAGCAAAGGAAAAAUCCAAGUCGAGUAGGUCGAACAUUCCCAAAUGAAGCAGUCAGGAUUUGGCUAACAGUCCCCAAGGCUCAGGAUUUACCCCAGACUGCUCAGUCACUGCUGAUUAAUGGCCCUUCUUGUCACCGGCCCAGGGCAGCAGCCUUGGCUAUAAGCAGUCCUAAGGCACAGCUCGGAACAACUCAGCUUCUCACGUUCCUCUCAUACUUUGCAUCUCCUCUAAGAGGAGGCGAGUUGAUAGAAUACUGACAUCAUUUCAUUUCCGUAUUAAAAACAAUCAAAGAAUGUCAGUGACAUUAAAUUACAUACCUAUCUUGACAGCGUCCCUUUACAUACAUGACUGCAAAGAAUACAAAUAUGAAACAGAAAGUUUGCCAAUAAUCACCGGUCAGAAACCCAAUCUACAAAAUGGCUAAGGGAGGAACCCUGUCCUCCUGAGUUUUAUUUACAGUAUCUUUGAUUUAUAUCAAACAUUUUAAAAACUAUUAAAACAAAAAUAAUUAAGGCAAGCCAAAUCCUUCUCUUGCCAGCACGCAAGGCUUGUCCGACUGGACAUAUUGAGGCUAUCAAACCCGGGUGCGUAUUUAUAACCUAGCGCUCAGACAACUUGGAACAACAAAUGCAAACAGCCACAAAGAAGUCACUUUGUUCACUUGGCACAAACAAAUCCCUGAGAUGAAAAGCAGCCUGGCGUUUAUUUUGGGCCAAGCUUCCUCAUCUGGCGAUCCACAACGUGGCACGGAAAGGGCAGUGUUACCAAAGGACACACAGCACAUGGCGAUGCAUCAUUAGAGCAAACACAGGCCAGGGUGCCAGAUCUCGGUAUUCUUGCUUCUUCCUUCCCAGAAUGGAUGUCACUUUCUUCUUCUCCCCAAAGCACGCUGGUUUGAGGCUUUCUUUUUUUUUUAAGGACCGUGCUUGUCAGCACAGCCCGAAAAGCUCUUACAGCCGUAAUUUAAAAAAUGAAUUGUGUUGACUGAAAACAUGGCUAGCAUUUGACUGCAGACAUGUCUGAAGACUUCCACAUGCAUAGUCAAAUGAGGACUGGUGAGGACAUGGUGAGAAUUUACCAAAAAUAUUAAAGCAAGCUUAGUAAGAGACACCAUCCACAACUGUGCCCAUUCAGAGAUCUGGUAGGUUCCUGUAACCACUGAGCCACGGAGACCUGACCUGCCUGGAAAAUACAAGGGAAAAAAAGACUGUGGUAGCAAGUCAUCAUUCUCAAGAGGUUUCUCAGAACCCAGAUUCCAAGUCUAGAGAAGGAAAUCUCAGUGGGCUCUGGGUUGGUUUGAUAUUGGUAUCUCAUUUAUUUUUCUGCAAAUAUGAACAAGGCACGAGAAAAGCGACCAAGGAAGAAUAGGAGGGGUAAUCUAAAUCCAAUGGAACAGCUAGCUGGUGAACAUGCAGCUUACUGGAAGGAUAACAUACUGCAUUUUGGGCAGCAAGCUGACAACUAUCAAAAGAUGAUGAGCAAUCUGCAAGCGACCAGGUACAGUUUAGUUUCAUGAGUGCUGCAGUUCAAAGGGAGUAAGUAUCUCACCAUCUUCCAUGGCUCCUUGAGGAGAGGAUCUGGUAAGGCCUGUAGUCCUUAUCUCAACACUGAGCUUUGGGUCACAUUGUCUCAUGCAUGAACAGUGGGAAUCUUGCCUGCUUGGUGGUAUGAAGGUUUCAUUCUUGUCAUACCUUCUUUACCUCAGAUAGCUAAAGAGAGAGCUAAAGGCAUUAAAAAGUCUUUAUAAAGAUUAAACCUUCUGAUGACUCUCAGACUUUAAAAGGAGGGUCGUAGGUGAUUUUGGUUACUUUUCUCUCUUUUCCCUUAAUAAAAAUCCAUUUCCCACAGCUCCUUAAACACCAGAAUAGAUAUGCAUAUAUUUCUCAGUAUUCAGAUUCAAAUCCUUGGUUUCUUUGGCAAAAGGCCAUACAAAUUCUCAUGGAUUUGUUAUUGCUUGCUAUAAAUUUACUACUCAGAAAGAAUAGUAUUUCAUUUGCUUUAUUGUUGGUGCCUCUAAAGAGGGUGAAAAUGGAUUUAAGUCUUUCAUUAGGCACCUUGAUGAGGGCAGAGAAGGAACAUACACACACACACACACACAAAAAAGCCAAAAAGGGCAUGUAAAGGAUUGAUAUAAGGCUCCAUCAUCUAUAAUUCAGCUGAUAAACUUAGGUCUCCAUUGCAAUGAGUUACAGUACUAAGAGAUUUGUUCUGCAAAUUCUGUCCAGAAUUUGGCAACAUCAUUUCUGAGAAGGAAAGCAGCCUCCUAUGUCUAGCUCAUGUAACUCUGGGGACUCGAGGAAUAUUUUAUGUCUGAAUAAGCAGAGGGUUUGAUCUUACUCAUGUUGGCUUUUAUGCUUUUCCUAUUUUACACAAAGGAUUAUGGGCAGUAGAGAGAAGUCACCAGCACAGGUAUGAACAAUAGCUCAUGCUCAUGUUCAGUUUACAUAUUCAUGGUACCUCUACACAACUUCAUGGAGUUAAAUCUAUCAAACUAAAGCCAGUCCUUGGAUAGCUCUACUUAUCCUAUGAUUCUUUAUUGCCUCCUAACUGACCUCUUCAGAGAGCACACUGCAGCGCUUUUCUCUCUCUUUAUCACCUCUCAAACAAAGUAGGCUUGGAAUGAAAAGACCUGGACUCCAAAAAGAAAGAGAUCCAAGUACGCAGCAAUGUUUUCUUGGUUUUGAGUGAUGGUGUAGAGUGAAAUCAAAGAUUCACCCUGGUUGUGCUCUGGAUCUUGUUCAAAAUUUAUAUUCAGACCCUGGAUUGCCUCCAUUUAUCUAGAUGGCAAGCUUGAAGGCUCUGACCAAUGGCUACUGCUGUAUUAGUAUCUGAUGUAUACUAACUUUAUACUCCUGAACAAAUGUAUGACUGGAAAGCCUAAUCCUUGUCAGUGGGCAUCCAAGAUGCAGACAGAUGAAGCAGUUUGCCCAAAGUCAAGCAAAGGGAGGGUUAAGAAGCUGAGGAUUAAAAGCACAACCCUUGAGCCCCACUUGGCUGGCCAACUCCCAGGGUGAUCCUUUCUUCACUGAUUGAAAGAUCAGUAAAUUACUCUCUAAAUGCUUGCAGUAUGAACUCUCCAAAACAGAGCAAAUGGGAUUUUUCACACUUUGACUAAUGAAAACUUGGCACAUUGCUUCAAAAAUAAAAUCCUCGCUCCUAGCAGUACAUAUACAUAAAAUAAUGUUUAUUUCUACGGGGCUUGUGAAUAAGCAAGAUAUUUUUCAUCCGUGAAAGGCAUUUUCUGUGUGUAUGUGUAAGUUAGUAAAAACAACAAAAACUAUGACUGAUGAUCCCGAUGACCAUCAUCCUAGUGAAAUUUAAAUAGUCAUACCUUCUUGCUUCUGAAAAGAAAGUCUCUUUUACUUCACAUUGAAAACUUUUGAGAUUAUUGUGGCUAUAUUUCUCUGCUUUUGACAAAAAUACACACAUAAUCAGUUCUUGUGUUUCAUGUUUAUAGAGUAGCUAUCAUCACAGGGCUAUGCACCAAGGCUAGGCAUUUAUAGGUAGAGAUUCAAUUAAAGGAUGUGCUCAGAAAGCAAAGCUCAGAUUUUACACUGCCUGCAAGAUCUACUUCCAUAUAAAAGCAAAGUUAGUUUCUGAAAAAGUGGGAAGAACUCACUCUUAUUGCCAACUUCUGAUAAUUUUCUUAAUCUCUUAUUUUUCCCUCCUGCUUUCUUAGUGUUUUCCAGAUGACCGAAGUAAACAUCAGGAGAAACUAACCUAACUUCUCAUGCCGGCAAACUGAACGGGAUUGACAGAAAUUGGGACCAAUGAUACACUGCAAAUACACUUUCAGAACAACCACAAUAUUUUCUCUUUGUGUGCUGAAAAUGUUUUGAAUAAAAAAAAAAAUCUUAAAAUUAUAACAUCUGAGAUAAACUGAUUUUGGUACCCCACUAGCACACAGAUAAAAAGUGACCUAGCCGCAGUCUUCCAGUUCACAGCUAACGUUUGAUAACCAUAAGGACAGAGCUUAGCAGAGGACCCUUUGUAGACAUUUUAGAGACUUGCAGUAGUGGAAAAGGUUUACUUUUUCUCAAGUGCAGAGGAAUUACUGGGGCUAUUGUAAAUUUGCUUCAAAGAAACAAAAAAGGGACUUUACAGUUCUGCAAUAAUCAGAAGAUAUGUAAGAAGAGACAGGUAAGUUGUGAUAUGCUUUAGCGUAGCAUCAGAUUUUAUUUGAUAAAUUCUUCCCUACAGCUUGUAAUGGAUCUACACAGUGUGAUUUCAGGGCAGGAGUAGCUUCAAAGUACAGUCUGAGUAUCAGAGAUGUGAGCAAGCACAGCUGGAUCUCAAACAUAUAAGCCACUGCGACUUACGCAGGAGGAAAAAAACUAUGAAGAAGAUUACUAUGAUCUGAAACGUUAAAGCUUCUUUCUUGUGAUAAAAUACAUUUACACGUUUUACUCAAACCAGCAGAAGUUGUUUCCAGGUGGAAGAAACAUUUAAGAUGACUUUGCCACACUAUUUGUGUGGAUGCAUAACAGACACAUGCCCUGCUCCUCACCUGAAACUUCAUAAAGAUAGGGUAAAGUUAUAUUUGGGUAUUUGGACAGAGAACCGGCAGUGUUACAAGAAUAAUACAGGUAUUGAAAAAGCUCCCUGCCAUUUUCUCCUGUGGGAGAGGACGGGGGGUACAGCAUGGAGAGGGAUAGGAUUGCCUUCUAACCACCACCAGCUUUCCUCAGGAGAGAGGCAGCCAAAUUUCUCCUGCAGCAGGUGCUCUAGAUGACUAUGUACAGAGAGGAUAACACAUAGUGGCUGCAGUGGCUCCAGUGGCCCGUUUAUCAGGAAGCAUUGACACAAGCUGUGAUUUACACCUAGAAGGAAAUCCAUUUCUGUGGCAACCCUGCAAAAGCACUGCUGCUGUGCUGGCAUAAACUAGCAGUCUCAGGGACUGCCACCACUCCCAGAAGUUCUCCUCCUUGGUUUAGCGAUCUCUUUCAUUUUUUAACUUCUUAGGCAAAUCUGUUAUUCACUGUUUUUAGUGGGCUUCAGAUAGUGUGGAAGGUUUGCAUACAGAUGCAGGGAGCAAGAACACACAUUGUUCUGGACAGUUAUUAAAACACAGAAGGCAGAUGAUCAGAUCGAAAAAGGCAUCUGGUGGCCAUGCAAGAGGCAGCCAGGCAGGAUUGCUGUUUCUGUGCUAUCACAUGAACUGGUACAGUCUUGACCACAGUCUCACUCAGGAUGGAUCUUGGAUUCAAAUAUACUCUUGAAAACAUUGUCUGUGUUUGUUCUGGAACAGCAGGGAGUCUGAACAACCCUUCUUUGAAGACAAGAGAGCACCUUAGUGAAACUUGGUGGCUGAAGAGUCCAAUCACCUUUAUGCGGAGAUCAAGUAGACCAUCCCUGAAGAAUGCUAUAGCUCAGGAAUGGGAAAGAGGCCAUUACUGGAAGAACUUUCCUAGGAUCUGACAGUAGGCCCCAGGUCUGCUCAGGAAAAUGGGAACAGGACACGAAGGAAAGAUCUGAGCUAUUACUGCUGAUGCUUUAAAUUUCCACCAUGGGAAAUAUUAAUGUCUAAAAUAAUAUAGUAUUAUGUACAGUACAUAGCUGUAGUAGAAAUGCUAAGUCACCUGGAAGUGAUGGAACACCUGGGAGGAAGGCAGGGCCAACCUAGGGAAGCUCAGGUGUAUGCAAGGCACUUGAGUGACUGGCAGGGGUGGAGCCAGGAUCCACCUCUUUCCAUACCUCAUUUAAGGGUUGGCAGUGGAAGUAAGGGUAUCUCUUUGGAGGUUUCUGUAUGCUUGAGGCCUUCUAAGGCCGACAGAUGGUGUUUUUUCUGCUGAUUCACAGCACUGAAGUGGUUACUGGAAAAAGGACCACGAGUUUAAUAAGGAGCAGACCCAUAGACACACAACAAAAGUGUGCCAUAUUCCACCAGCUCCAAAAAGAACAAAAAAAGCAGUUUUAAAACCAAAUCACUAGAACAUCUGCAUGCAUACAAUGCAUGUUCAAAGACUCUCCAACAGGAAUGCUGUUGGUAAACAGCUGUUUCAGACACACGCACCAUAUUAAUUGCAUUUCCUUGGAAUAUUUUGCUCUGGGUUAAAAGAAUGGAAGUCACACGUAGAAUCCUCCUUCAGAAGUGCAGUCUUGGAAGGUUGGUUUAUCUGUUUUAUAAUGAAGACUCAACCCACUAAUGAAACUCCUCUCAGACUUCUCACCAAUAUGCACUAACAAACAUAAAAUCAUAUCACGGUAGAAAGGAAUGGCAAUCUGGAAACUGGAAAUAGUAAACAAAAUGAAUGCCCUUAAAGACUGGAACCCUUAAAGGACUCUGGAGCAGCUGAACUUUUGAUCUUCUCCAACUGUUUAUGAGAUUAAGUAAAGCUUCUGGAAUUGCACAUUGAACUAUGCUGAACAGGAAGAAAUCUCUUUGCUUAAUAGGCCUCAAGGAAAAAAUCUAUUGUGCUAAAGAAACAGCUACAGUUCUUGCUAUGCAGCAAGGAGCUUACUUCUGCUGGGGUAGAGGAGCUGCUUUCGGACGUGUCUUUCACCGUCUCUAUGAUUUAAUACGUUUAAGUGAUGGAACAGUAAUGCAAGGGCUCAAGUUGCAGAUGGAAGGUCUCAAAAAGCCAGGAUUCACCAUAUUUGUAGUAGAAGAACAGCAGGGCAGGUUCCUUCUGCCUCUACUGGCUCAAAUCCAGAAUAUCUUUCAGAGAAUGGGAGAACAAAAGCUAGAAAGCGUUUAGUGAAGUGUUAGCAGCACUCACCUAUCCCACCAUUCUGUGCAUGUUUGUAUAUAUAUUUACAUGUGUAUGUAAACACACUAAUACAUAUUAAACAAACACACAGAUGCAUACACCUUCCUAGCUGUGUGCACAUGUAAUGCUUGUAUUAUAUAUAUACAUCAACACAGACUAAACUUUAUACAGAGGGAGAAUGCAUAGCAGAAUCUAACACUGGGAGAGGUUUUCUUCAGUGUAUUUACACGCCUAGUCUCAGGCAGGAUGUGGUCUGUCAUUGCAGAGGCCACAGCACAAGGUGAGACUUUGCAAAAUGUAAUACAAGCUAUUAAUGCUAGUUGGUCUGCAAAAUUCAUACCUAGUCCCCAGAUGGGAGGAUGUUGGGAUUGAGAGGAGAUUUUCUUCAAGAACUAGAUGGGUUGUUUCUGGAACUCUGAAAGAUGCUGAGUUGGACACAAGGACAAACAGGCAAGAAAGUAUGUAAGACUGAGUACAAUGACUACAUCAUAUUUUUUCAAUAUACUUUUUAAAAAAAGAUUAAAACAGUCAUGAUAAUUGAGCAGUUUCAGUCUAACAGCCUUAAGUAAGCAGAGGCUUGUUCCUUUGACAACUGCAUAUUUUGAAUCAUGAAUUACAUGACUGAAAAAUGAUGUUACAUGUGAAUACAACUGCUACCAUCAAAAUCAAUCUUCUGCGGGAAAAUCUGUAUUUGCUAGACACAUCACAGCAAAGGUGUCAUGGCAAAUAGCAGGUGAUGGCACGACAGCUAGCAGUCCAAGCGCUUUAGGCUUGUUAACUUCUGAGUUCAGGACAGCUACAUAUUAUGCCACCUGUGCAUAAGACAGUAGAGAAAUCUAAUUAGGGUUCUUACCUGUAUCUGAGCAACCCAACCUGAUAUUGAAUCUAACCCUUCUCUGAGCAAGGCCAUUUGUAUGAGAUUGCUCAUGAUAUCCCUUACAACUGAAAUUAUUCUAUGAUCCAUAGCAUACAAAAAGAGGGAUUCUCAUUUGCCAUCUCUGGCGGGAGCAGUAGAUGCCUUCAGCUUCACUUGUGGAAAAAGGACGAAGGAAAAGCCGAGUUCAGACUUCCAGUUUUGGCAUAGCACAAUUUCUGGGAGAGUGUGUGGGCCAGAGUCCCUCAUUAAAGGAAAGGUGUAAGAAAUACAGAGUUGAAAAUCCAGUAAGCACUUUGAAAUGCUUCAAAAGAAAGUACAGCAUGACAGAGAAAUACGGAUACCACACAGGCUAACAGAAUUUAUCCUGGGAAUAAGGUGAGAGAAGAGACAAAAGGGGAGUUAGCCCUGUAAGGAGCAUGUUCUGAUUUAAAAAAAAAAAAAGUGUUAUGCUUUCCUAUAGGCAAAUACUGAUUCUUCACAAACUCUUUUCUCCAAGAUCUAGUAAUCUCCUUUACCUGUUGGAGACUCAUUAUAAUUAAAAGUUGCAGUGCCAGUUUCUCAUUAAUAAGUAAAUCUGCUUUCUAUUCCAUAGGGUUUUGCUUUACCUGAUUAAAGAUAUUGUUAAAGCUUCCACAAGUAUUUUUUGUACCCGCAUGGGCUCCUUACUGAAUCUGGCUGUCCUCACUUCCUAACUUACUUGUUAAGUUACUGCCUCACUGCACCCCUGAAGUGGUUGCCUUUAAGUGGCUGCUGAAAUGAUUAAUAUUUAUUUAGGAAAGCUCUUUGAAGAUGAUACAUGACAUAAAUAUCAGACAACACUAUUAUGCUUCCAAAAAAACAAUACAGCUUUUGUAAGAUUAAAAGCCUAUUCCCCCACUAGAUUUCUUGAAAUUUGUAAAAACAAAAUAAUGUAACCUUCCCUUUGCCAUUUAUCCCUCUUAUCUCUUCAAAGCUUUUAAUAGUAUUUCCCAUCUGAUUACUGCUAAUCACAUUGUUAUACCACUUUUACGGCCUUGGGGUUUAUGAUAAAGCUUCUCUAUUAUUCCAGAUAGGAACAAAACAGUAGCAGGUAGGAAGCAAUAUACACUUUCCAAAGAUCAGAGCCACUAUUUAAUGUUUUUGUAAAUAUUUACUUUAGAAGCAGGCUAAAUGUUACUUAAGAUUUGUUCUAAACUGCUGUGUUUAAAGGAAAAAAAAAAUGAUGAAGACAUAUGGAACUCAUCUGAAGGAGGAAAAAAAAGGUUACAAUUACACAAAAGAAUUAAUUUCUCUUGCUGUUACCUAAGAGUAAUGUUCAAAAAAGCUUGUGGCAUGUUUUGAAUCUUAGGUGGCACAUCAUGAUACAUAUCAUGUGGUUUGUGGUCUCUUCUUCCUACCGCUUGCAGCUCUGGCUGGAGUUUCCCCAACCUGACUGUCCCACCAAAUUGGUACACACCCACAUUGCACUCCCAUAGGGAUUUCUGGUCCUGUUCUGCUUUUUUUUUUCCCCUUUUUCUUAGUCAUCUUACCCACAAGCAGCAUAAAUCAAGGCGAGGCUGUGUUUUCACAGCUAGGCAGCUCUUGCAACAUCAGGGUUGAGUUCAGGGAAAUGGCUGGAAAACUGGCUAUGUCCCCCUCCUCCCAACCACACCUGCCUUUUGGCUAAUGGAAGGUGAGCACAGAGCCAAAGAUAUUUGUUUAUUCUUGCCCUCAGUGUUUUGAUAUGUAUGCCACUGAUGAGGGUAAUCGCCCUGCCUCACAGCAC